rnacentral:rRNA from 1 species
GUCCCAGCCGCCGCGGUAAUACGGAGGGUGCAAGCGUUAAUCGGAAUUACUGGGCGUAAAGCGCGCGUAGGUGGUUUGGUAAGCGAGAUGUGAAAGCCCCGGGCUUAACCUGGGAACGGCAUUUCGAACUGUCAGACUAGAGUGUGGUAGAGGGUAGUGGAAUUUCCUGUGUAGCGGUGAAAUGCGUAGAUAUAGGAAGGAACACCAGUGGCGAAGGCGGCUACCUGGACCAACACUGACACUGAGGUGCGAAAGCGUGGGGGGCAAACAGGAUUAGAUACCCUGGUAGUCCACGCCGUAAACGAUGUCAACUAGCCGUUGGGACUCUUGAAGUCUUAGUGGCGCAGCUAACGCACUAAGUUGACCGCCUGGGGAGUACGGCCGCAAGGUUAAAACUCAAAUGAAUUGACGGGGGCCCGCACAAGCGGUGGAGCAUGUGGUUUAAUUCGACGCAACGCGAAGAACCUUACCUGGCCUUGACAUCCAGAGAACUUUCCAGAGAUGGAUUGGUGCCUUCGGGAACUCUGAGACAGGUGCUGCAUGGCCGUCGUCAGCUCGUGUCGUGAGAUGUUGGGUUAAGUCCCGUAACGAGCGCAACCCCUAUCCCUGGUUGCUAGCAGGUAAUGCUGAGAACUCCAGGGAGACUGCCGGUGACAAACCGGAGGAAGGUGGGGAUGACGUCAGGUCAUCAUGGCCCUUACGGCCAGGGCUACACACGUGCUACAAUGGCGCGUACAGAGGGCUGCCAACUCGCGAGAGUGAGCCAAUCCCUUAAAACGCGUCGUAGUCCGGAUCGGAGUCUGCAACUCGACUCCGUGAAGUCGGAAUCGCUAGUAAUCGCGAAUCAGAAUGUCGCGGUGAAUACGUUCCCGGGCCUUGUACACACCGCCCGUCACACCAUGGGAGUGGAUUGCACCAGAAGUAGUUAGUCUAACCCUCGGGAGGACGAUUACCACGGUGUGGUUCAUGACUGGGGUGAAGUCGUAACAAGGUAACC